UACGUAGGGUGCAAGCGUUAAUCGGAAUUACUGGGCGUAAAGCGUGCGCAGGCGGUUUUGUAAGUCUGUCGUGAAAGCCCCGGGCUCAUCCUGGGAAUUGCGAUGGAGACUGCAAGGCUUGAAUCUGGCAGAGGGGGGUAGAAUUCCACGUGUAGCAGUGAAAUGCGUAGAGAUGUGGAGGAACACCGAUGGCGAAGGCAGCCCGCUGGGUCAAGAAUGACGCUCAUGCACGAAAGCGUGGGGAGCAAACAGG
rnacentral:rRNA from 1 species